rnacentral:rRNA from 1 species
GGUGGUAUUAGCGAGAGAGAUACACCCGUUCCCAUACCGAACACGGCAGUUAAGCCUCUCAGCGCCGAUGGUACUGCCUUGGAGACGAGGUGGGAGAGUAGGUCGCCGCCG